CCCAACUGCCUUUCUUGCCGUAGAGGCCCUGAACUUCACCCCAGAGAGAGGCAUGGAGUAGACUGCUCCGAAAGAAAAAAUGGAGUCAAGGACACAGAAAAUGAGGCUCCUCUGAAGCAGGUCGAAAAGCCGGUCAGAGCAGUCUGCCCAUCUCGGCCGGGAACCACGGGGGGGUGAUGAGAGCUUGGACAAGGAUAUCUCAGAGCCUUCAAUCUGCCGCCAUGCACUGUGCCUGUCCGAGAGGAGAUGAGGUGUUUUCCCUGCCUCAUUUGACCAGUGGAACCAUCUGCCUGUGACCACCUUGGGUGACUGAGUAUUCUAGCAACGACUUUGACAUGUGCUGUUCUCCACCAGAGCUGCAUGAAGGGUAGCCCCGGACCAGUGGUCUGCAGUGGGGGAAGUACAGAAAUCGAGAGGAAGCUCUUAGCAUCUGUUCUAGCAAAUGCACAGAGUGAUUUGUAUUUGCCUGAUGAGCCUGAAAACAAUGUUGUGGGGCUUAUAUUUUGUAUUUCUUUUUUUAUUAUUAUUAAUUUUAUGUUCCUAGCGGUUGACGUUUAGGACAAUUUGCAGAAAAUAUACAUCUGCAACACACUAAAAAUGUGCAAAAGCCGUCCUUGCCUUCAUAAUCUGAGAGCAAGCCCACCAAUACCUGGAUCUUUCCGCACCACAUCAAGAGUGCAAAGGUUAUCCUGGAGGGGCUCUGGCCUAUCUCCUAGCAUCCCCCAUCCCUGCCCGUUGUGGCCCGUCCACCCUGUGGCCCAGAACGAGGAGCCACGGCAUGUGCCUCGUCCGAAGAGCAGUUCAGGAGGGGCCAGAAGGAGACAGCCCUGGCCCCAUGUGACCUGCCACGUGUAGCCCCGCUCACGUGCCCGUCGCCCUCCCACCCUGGGAAUAUUGCUGACAGCUCUUUGAAAACUUAAGAAAGUAUGACAGGCUUUCAGGAAUGGUGACUUGCCACCGUGGCGCGGAGGCAUGGGAGGAUUUAAGCAGCUCGCUUUAAACAAGGCUUGGCUUUUGUUCUACCUAAUCGUGCUGGUCAUGUGGGGUUUUUUUUCCCACAGCUUUCUGAAGUGUUCUCCAAUAGAGGACUUCAGGCUUUUAAAAACAGUAAUUUUGGUAACAAUGGUAAUUACUUUAAUUGGAGUUCUUUAAAGGUAGAUCCUUCUCGCCCACCUCCUCUUAAGACAUGAAGCAUGCUGUCACCCAUUGCGUCACCCCAAAUCAGCGUGGUAGUCUUUCCUCUUUAGAGCUAUUAAUGGGCCAGGUAGGAGGGGAGUCAAGAAACUUCCAGAACUCACUAUUUUUUAGUCUAAAAUAAUGACAAGUAAUUUUUCCCUUGUUUCCAGGAAGUGGUAGAUAAUCAGCUUUAUGUGUAGAAAAAUACGCACGUUGCAUAUGACUGGGGCUCCCCAGUUAGGCCUUUCACAGAGGAUUAGGACUCUUAAUGCCCCACUGGGCUCCAUUUCGUCACAAAAGCCUUUGGCACAAUCUGUUGGGCUGUCAUGUUUCUGGGGGCCUUGUGUAGUUAUUAAGUGACAUUAGGUAGCCCUGCAUAGGGUCUUUUAUCCGCAAAUAGCCACAUUCUUUAGAGUAGUUGCUUGAGCUGCUUGACACGCCCUAGGGAAGUAGGCAAAGUAUCAUAACCUUCCCUUUCUGUAGGAGACGGGUGAAGGGCAGCAGAACCUUCCUGAAGGAACCCUGUGGCUGUGGGGUCAGGGAGCUCGCAGCGAUACCUGCAAAGACCAGCCUUCCCUCGGGGCCCAUCUGGACAACCUCCUCUGCUUACCUCCUUUCCUAUGACAGUGGGCCAGUCCUUUGGCUCUCGGACUUCUAUUUCAUGCUAAGCUGUGACGUCCUGGUUGGUGUUGGGUGAAACUGCUGUGAAGCGUGUCCAUCACACAUACCUAGGGCAGAGGAAGCCUGGGGAGCUUUGAACUUGGCCUCUGCAGCUCCUUCUGGAUUGUGAUGAGCAAAAGCAAGUAAUUUGCAUUGUGUGGUUCCCAUUCAUUUAUGUUUUCACAUCCUUUCUUUGCCCCUUGUCCACAUUUUAGGAAGAGAAUAAAUAUAAAUGUUUUCUCUAUAAUUUCCUUCCCUCCCUAUACCUAUAUCAAUAUCUAUUUAUGUAUUGUAGGGGAGGAAAAAUUCUCCCCUACCUUCUUUGGGUCUGCAGCUGGGUCUAAAAAUUAAAUUGACAUAGGACAGAUUAGCAGGAGAAAAGCAUACAAGUUUAAUUAAAUAUUUGCGUGUAUGUGGGAGCCAUCUCAAGAUAAUGAAGACCUGAAGAAGUGACCAGAACAGGAAGCUUUCAUACCUUUUAGACAAAGAGACAAUACAUUUUUACU